rnacentral:rRNA from 1 species
AACGAACGCUGGCGGCGCGCCUAAUACAUGCAAGUCGAGCGAGAAGACGUAGCAAUACGUUUGUAAAGCGGCGAACGGGUGAGGAAUACAUGGGUAACCUACCCUCGAGUGGGGAAUAACUAGCCGAAAGGUUAGCUAAUACCGCGUACGCUCCUUGGACUUCGGUUCAGGGAGGAAAGCGAUACCGUGGGUAUCGCGCUCUUGGAUGGGCUCAUGUCCUAUCAGCUUGUUGGUGAGGAACGGCUCACCAAGGCUUCGACGGGUAGCUGGUCUGAGAGGACGAUCAGCCACACUGGCACUGCGACACGGGCCAGACUCCUACGGGAGGCAGCAGUAAGGAAUACUGCGCAAUGGGCGAAAGCCUGACGCAGCGACGCCGCGUGGGGGAUGAAGGU